rnacentral:lncRNA from 1 species
GCCAUUGGCCUCUAUAUUUAUACAUAGAGAAUUUGACAUUAAAAUGAAUAAUUAAGUACAAUUAUUCCCUCUUAAAUGUGUCCGUUUUGAUUCUUCGACUUUAAUGCUCAACGUUUGAAUUUGAGUUGACUCUGAUCUUUGUGGGCCUCGCCUUUUUGGCCCAAGUGUCCUUGAACCGACCUACCCGCGUCUUAUAUACCGAACUCACAUCUCAGUGCAGUCACUUCGGACUCUCGAAGUGGUGACAACCACUUCGACCGUCCCCUCGGUUCAUGGGCCCAAUGGGCUUCAUCUUUAUGGGCCACCCGCUUGACUACGUGGCAAUCUUUGGUU